GAUGAACGCUAGCGGCAGGCUUAACACAUGCAAGUCGAGGGGUAGAGGAAGCUUGCUUCCUUGAGACCGGCGCACGGGUGCGUAACGCGUAUACAAUCUACCUUUUACAGAGGGAUAGCCCCAGAGAAAUUUGGAUUAAUACCUCAUAGUAUUUUCGGAUCGCAUGAUUUGAUUAUUAAAGUUCCAACGGUAAAAGAUGAGUAUGCGUCCCAUUAGCUAGAUGGUAAGGUAACGGCUUACCAUGGCAAUGAUGGGUAGGGGUCCUGAGAGGGAGAUCCCCCACACUGGUACUGAGACACGGACCAGACUCCUACGGGA
rnacentral:rRNA from 1 species